UAUUUAUAUAGUUUAAAUAAAACGUUAUAUUUUCACUAUAAAAUUAGAAAAAUUUUUCUUAUAAAU
rnacentral:tRNA from 1 species